AAGACUUCCGCUAAGUGUUGUGCUCUGCUUGUUUUUCAGUUAACAAAAGGUUAGUGUUAUGUUGAUUUUGUUUAUCAUAGUUUCUCUUUAGCCUCUUGGAAUUCUCAUAAUUCUUUGACUAUUCAUUCAAUUUCAUUUUAGUAGUAAUUUACUGCAAGUUAUUUAGGCAUUUUACUUCCAAAUCUACUGCAAUCUAUAAUUAUAUGUUGUCAAAUUGAAUUGUCUUUGACUUUAAUAUAUGGAACUACAUGAAAGUACCAUGCUUUAGCAGCUAUCACCUUUCUAUCAAGGUUCUAGAAAAUGUAUCUCGCCAAAAACUUGACAAGCGUAAAAAUAGGCGGAGACAUCCAAUUCCAAAGCUUUUUAAAAAUAGGUUUGAUUCUUGUUUCCACUUGUUUAUAUGUGGAUGAUGGGCCAAUGUUCUUCCCUUUUUCUUGAAAUUUGACAAGAUUUGGAUUCUUGUUUUCCCUUGCUUAUACGUGGAUGAUUGACCAAUGUUCUCCUUUUCUUGAAAUUUGACAAGGAAGAUUGUUAUGUUGGAUAGGGUAUGUAUUGAGAGGACUAUUGACUAUAUCAAAUAUGUACUUUUAUGGUUGGUCAUUCUUGGUAGGAAGUUUUCAUUUGCCUAUUUUCUCUAGGAAAGUAACUACUCGAUGGUGUCUCUGAGUGAUAAAUGGUCUUCUAGGCCUGAGGUUAAGCCUUGGGUGAAAACAAGCCUUGCCCUGGUAUUGGAGUUGUUACCAAGUAUUUUCUCAAAGGUGGCCUUCAAGAAUAUUUAAAUCAGCAAGGAUUCCAUAUAGUUGGAUAUGGUUGCACAACGUGUAUUGGAAAUUCUGGGGACCUUGAUGAGUUGGUGACUGUUGCGAUUUUA